rnacentral:rRNA from 1 species
GCCAGCAGCCAUAUCACCCUGCAACUCACAACUGGCUUAACUGAAGCUAAGCAGGUGUGAGCCUGGUCAGUACCUGGAUGGGACACCUCCUGGGAAAAACUAAGGUUGCUGCUGGAA